rnacentral:rRNA from 1 species
UACAGGGGGGGCAAGCGUUGUUCGGAAUUACUGGGCGUAAAGGGCUCGUAGGCGGCCAACUAAGUCACACGUGAAAUCCCCAGGCUUAACCUGGGAACUGCGUGUGAUACUGGAUGGCUUGAAUUCGGGAGAGGGAUGCAGAAUUCCAGGUGUAGCGGUGAAAUGCGUAGAUAUCUGGAGGAAUACCGGUGGCGAAGGCGGCAUCCUGGACCGACAUUGACGCUGAGGCGCGAAAGCUAGGGGAGCAAACGGG